GAUUAUUUUAUAUAAGGCCUAAACUGAUUUUUUUACACAUUUGCAAACUUUUUCUCUCUCUUUUUUCCUCAGUCCCUCUAAAAAAAAUUUCCUGUUGCAGAUCUAUACGAAGAUGAAAACUGAUUUUGAAGUUUUUUGUUUUCCAGAUCUAUCAAAACAAAGACGAAUCCGGGUACUAAAACAACAACGACAAUAUGUGUGACAAUAUAAAUUAUGGUUCUACAUCUUCUGAUAGGAAAACAAAAAGUUAAACAUAUGGACAAUUUCUUAACAUUUUUUUUUUCACUUCUUUUUAUUUUUAUUAAUUUUUCUCUCUUCUUUUUAGAAUUUGUC